CUUAAGUUCUGAGACCCCCACACCUUCUCCUUGCUGUCUCCUAGGUGCCUCGUCCCCUUCUGACUUCACCUUCCCUGGCUUGCCCCAUGUCUGACUCCUCUCCAUUGAGGACUGUAGGCUGUGGCCUUCUCUCCCACCCGAGACUUGACCAGUCGGAGAAUGAGGACCCCAAUAUGCUUUACCAAGUGUUGACUGCUGGGCAACUGCCAACUUCAUAACCUCAGUGGUUCUCGCCAAGUCGCAAGAGCGCCGGUGCCCGGUUGAUUUGGUAGUAAUUAUGAGCACACUGUUUCUGAGAACGGGCUCUCUUGAGGAGGGAGAUGGCUCGAAGACGACAGCCUGAAAUGGCGAGGAGAUGGAGCGUGGCCAGUCAGCAGGGAGCUCUCGCAUCUUUACAUGUUUACAAUCUUCAGUGCAUACAUUAAACUGAACCCUUUUUUUU